rnacentral:snoRNA from 1 species
UACCAUGAUGAUCAUUUUGUAUACAAUAUACGCUGGAAAUUACCGGCUGAGACCCUCGGGUCGUGGAAGAUAUCAAAUGGCUAUAUCUGAAA